rnacentral:rRNA from 1 species
CCUACGGGAGGCAGCAGUGAGGAAUAUUGGUCAAUGGGCGGGAGCCUGAACCAGCCAAGCCGCGUGAAGGAAGAAGGCGCCACGCGUCGUAAACUUCUUUUGUCGGGGAACAAAGGGCGCCACGUGUGGCGUUCUGAGUGUACCCGAAGAAAAAGCAUCGGCUAACGCCGUGCCAGCAGCCGCGGUAAUACGGAGGAUGCGAGCGUUAUCCGGAUUUAUGGGGUUGAAAGGGUGCGUAGGCGGUCCGGAAAGUCAGCGGUAAAAGCCCGGGGCUCAACCCCGGCGGGCCGUUGAAACUGUGGGACUAGAGACGGCGAGAAGUAGGCGGAAUGCGCGGUGUAGCGGUGAAAUGCAUAGAUAUCGCGCAGAACUCCGAUUGCGAAGGCAGCGUACCGGCGCCGGACUGACGCUGAGGCACGAAAGCGUGGGGAUCGAACAGGAUUAGAUACCCCAGUAGUC